rnacentral:rRNA from 1 species
GACGAACGCUGGCGGCGUGCCUAAUACAUGCAAGUUGAGCGCUGAAGGUUGGUACUUGUACCAACUGGAUGAGCAGCGCACGGGUGAGUAACGCGUGGGGAAUCUGCCUUUGAGCGGGGGACAACAUUUGGAAACGAAUGCUAAUACCGCAUAAAAACUUUAAACACAAGUUUUAAGUUUGAAAGAUGCAAUUGCAUCACUCAAAGAUGAUCCCGCGUUGUAUUAGCUAGUUGGUGAGGUAAAGGCUCACCAAGGCGAUGAUACAUAGCCGACCUGAGAGGGUGAUCGGCCACAUUGGGACUGAGACACGGCCCAAAAUCCUACGGGAGGCAGCAGUAGGGAAUCUUCGGCAAUGGACGAAAGUCUGACCGAGCAACGCCGCGUGAGUGAAGAAGGUUCUCGGAUCGUAAAACUCUGUUGGUAGAGAAGAACGUUGGUGAGAGUGGAAAGCUCAUCAAGUGACGGUAACUACCCAGAAAGGGACGGCUAACUACGUG